rnacentral:rRNA from 1 species
UCGUACCUUCUCUUCGGAGCAGGAGUGACAGGUGGUGCAUGGUUGUCGUCAGCUCGUGUCGUGAGAUGUUGGGUUAAGUCCCGCAACGAGCGCAACCCUUAUCUUUAGUAGCCAGCGGUUCGGCCGGGCACUCUAGAGAGACUGCCAGGGAUAACCUGGAGGAAGGCGGGGAUGACGUCAAAUCAUCAUGCCCCUUAUGACUUGGGCUACACACGUGCUACAAUGGCGUAAACAAAGGGAAGCAAAGCUGUGAGGCCGAGCAAAUCUCAAAAAUAACGUCUCAGUUCGGACUGUAGUCUGCAACCCGACUACACGAAGCUGGAAUCGCUAGUAAUCGCAGAUCAGAAUGCUGCGGUGAAUACGUUCCCGGGUCUUGUACACACCGAA